GUGCUGUAUGAGGGGAGAGGUUUGCACCCCCAUUGACAAGGAUAGAAGAGGCCCUGCAUCCUAAAAUAUGAACAAACUGAAGGCAUCGCCACAUGGUUUAUGUCACAGAACCACUGUUAUUUCUUUUU